rnacentral:rRNA from 1 species
AUUGAACGCUGGCGGCAGGCCUAACACAUGCAAGUCGAGCGGAUGAAGGGAGCUUGCUCCUGGAUUCAGCGGCGGACGGGUGAGUAAUGCCUAGGAAUCUGCCUGGUAGUGGGGGAUAACGUCCGGAAACGGGCGCUAAUACCGCAUACGUCCUGAGGGAGAAAGUGGGGGAUCUUCGGACCUCACGCUAUCAGAUGAGCCUAGGUCGGAUUAGCUAGUUGGUGGGGUAAAGGCCUACCAAGGCGACGAUCCGUAACUGGUCUGAGAGGAUGAUCAGUCACACUGGAACUGAGACACGGUCCAGACUCCUACGGGAGGCAGCAGUGGGGAAUAUUGGACAAUGGGCGAAAGCCUGAUCCAGCCAUGCCGCGGGUGUGAAGAAGGUCUUCGGAUUGUAAAGCACUUUAAGUUGGGAGGAAGGGCAGUAAGUUAAUACCUUGCUGUUUUGACGUUACCAACAGAAGAAGCACCGGCUAACUUCGU